UCCAGAUUGGGCAGACAGGGUCUCUUCUGAAUGACUCCAGACAAAAUAUAGACCCACCAUCAGCUUGGCUGGGAGAUAUUGCUUCCCAUGAGCCUCAAAGCAAAGGAAAACCAGACACUGGUGUUGGGAUGACAGGCAUGUGUCACCACACCCAUCCUGUUCUUUCAUGUCUCCGUGUUCAAAGCAAAAGUCCAGGAGCAACGAGAGAGAAGUGGAAAGAGAGGCACACUAAGAGGUGCCAACCUUAACCACCCAGAAAGAAAAACACCGUCUUUCUUCCCAUCAAUUAAC